rnacentral:lncRNA from 1 species
GUUACAACGCUUUACCACCUCAGUAGCGCUUAAAAGGCGCUUAAGCGCCUUUUUAAUAACACUGCUACUUUGUGAAAGGAAAAAUAGUUUUGAGAUCCACCAGUAAGAUUUCCAAUAAACUAUUUCUUGAAAAAUGUGGCAUGACCACACUUCAAUAAACAUAUCUUGUAGUCUGUGUACUGUGGUUACUAGUGAAACAGCUCAUUUUUGUUCUUCCUUUUUAAAUACAGCACACAUCUGGAGAUAGGAUAUUCAUAUUGUGUUCGUAUCAAAUGCACAUGACCCAUCACCCAUCUGGAGUGCACAUAUUAAAUCUGGACCCUUCGUUCAACAAUUCAGCAAUCAAUGACUGAAAGAGGAUGUAAAGGGAAUGCAGGUAGAGCUAAUGGCCCAAGCUAAAAGAAUGAAUCAUGAUUAUCAUUCGAGGCAAUUCCUUUAUCAUAUUUCAUCUGCUGUAUUCUCCAAGUGACAUUUUCACUGAUGUAUGCUCGAUAACUCCAAUAAAGGCAUAAAGCGAGAGAUGCUACAGCUUUGUUGAAUGCAAACAGGUUUGCUCGUGUUGAAUUAUUGUAAGGCCGCGCAUAGCAGAGCGUGCAUAUGUUGAAUUAUUGUUGAAUGCAAACAUUGUUUUGUACCGUAGACUAUAUUGUUUACAGAGUAGAGUUUGAAAUAGAUUAGAGUUUGAAAUAGAGUAAAGUUUGAAAUAGAGUAGAGUUUGAAAUAGUGAGUAAGAUAGGAGAUGAGAUAGAGAGGCUGCUGGAGAUAGCCUAUCGUAUUACAAGUGCAGAAACUUGCUCCAGCUUGCUUGGGACAAAAGAAUCUGAUGCCAUUUUUGUUGUUAUUCCAGAACAGCACAACUCAACUAUCAGGGUUUUUUUAUCUGGUUAUAAGCUGUUGUUUUGUACUGAGAUUUCAUUGUUCACUUGAAGAAACCCUUGCUGGGAGAGCAGAAUGCAUGGUGCUGUUUAAGUGA